GAUGAACGCUGGCGGCGUGCCUAAUACAUGCAAGUCGAGCGAACAGACGAGGAGCUUGCUCCUCUGACGUUAGCGGCGGACGGGUGAGUAACACGUGGAUAACCUACCUAUAAGACUGGGAUAACUUCGGGAAACCGGAGCUAAUACCGGAUAAUAUAUUGAACCGCAUGGUUCAAUAGUGAAAGACGGUUUUGCUGUCACUUAUAGAUGGAUCCGCGCCGCAUUAGCUAGUUGGUAAGGUAACGGCUUACCAAGGCAACGAUGCGUAGCCGACCUGAGAGGGUGAUCGGCCACACUGGAACUGAGACACGGUCCAGACUCCUACGGGAGGCAGCAGUAGGGAAUCUUCCGCAAUGGGCGAAAGCCUGACGGAGCAACGCCGCGUGAGUGAUGAAGGUCUUCGGAUCGUAAAACUCUGUUAUUAGGGAAGAACAAAUGUGUAAGUAACUAUACACGUCUUGACGGUACCUAAUCAGAAAGCCACGGCUAACUACG
rnacentral:rRNA from 1 species